rnacentral:misc_RNA from 1 species
GAUGAAGAACGUAGCGAAAUGCGAUAAGUAAUGCGAAUUGCAGAAUUCAGUGAGUCAUCGAAUCUUUGAACGCACAUUGCGCCCUUUGGUAUUCCGGGGGGCAUGCCUGUCCGAGCGUCAUUUGCAACCCUCAAGCCCGGCUUGUGUGAUGGGUGCCGUCCCCUACGGGACGCGCCCCGAAGGCAAUGGCGGCGUCGCGGUUAUCCGAUCAGCCAAAGUGUAUGGGGCUUUGUCACUCACUUUACGGCCCGGACCGGCGCCAGUCCGAAUCAAUCUUUUUUCUAAAGUUGACCUCGGAUCAGGUAGGGAUACCCGCUGAACUUAAGCAUAUCAAUAAGCGGAGGA